rnacentral:lncRNA from 1 species
UUAACUCACUGAGCAAGGCCAGGGAUCGAAACGGCAACCUCAUAGAUAUUAGCCUGGUUCAUAACCCGCUGAGCCACAAUGGGAACUCCUAUCAUCCUCACAUUAGAGUUGAGGAAACAGGCUCAGAGAGGUUAAGUGGCUUCAUCAAGGGGACAGAGCUAGGCAGAGCCAGGAUCCAAGCUCAAGUCCACUGUCUUCAGAACAGAUGCUAUGUCUCCAUCACUCUGUGUUCUGCCUGGGCUGGUAGUUAGCCCAAGCUUGGGAUGGAUUCUCAGCCCUGAAUCACCUCACCCCGAGCUUGGAUUGUCCCUCUCAGCCUUAAUUCAAGAAUGAGACACUAGCCUUUAACCAAAUCUGCACUGGGGUACCCAGGCCCCCUGGUUCUCAGUGCUUCUACUGGGGUGAACCUGCUACAUCAGGAAUAUUGGGGAACACUGGGGAACAUUGGAGGUGGGCUCUAAAGCACUGCACAGACCCCCUGCUCCUUUGGCUGAUAUCCUGCCACUAUCUCCAUGUCUGGCUACACUGAGCUGCCCUUUGGCCCCAGCCAACACUACCUGCCUCCCCUGCAAAAUUCUGGUGGUCCUGGCUGCCACUGGUGUUCAGUUCAUGUCCUCACAACUGAACAAGAAACCGACACAAGAACCACUGAGCUUUACUACAUCUGCCUGCCAUACUCUUCCCAGCUGAACAAAUCAUUUGAGAAUCGAUUACGGAAUUUUUAUUCUGCACGGUGGCAGACCUGAAUUAAAAGAUGUGGCCCACAAGUGAACGGGUAGUUACAACUGUGGCCCAGAUAAUCCCCAAAGUGGAUAAACCACAAAGUGAAUGAGGCUUUUGUGGGCAGAUGAGAAUUGACACCACCUUGUGAGAUUGGAUGAAGGAAAAUCCAUUUAAGAAAACUCACUUGUAUGGAGCUGGAUUCUUUUCUCAUCCUGGAGGAGUUAAAUGAGGCUUUGUUGAAAAAAACAGGACUCCCCAAAGGAGGGGCAGAUGAAGAAGUGACAGCACUGAGCCCCUGAGAGAAAUAGCGACGGAUCCAGUCUUAUUUUUAAACCAACAUUUGUGAUUCAAACCAAGCUUAUAAGAACUGCAAUUCUCCAGUUUUUGCAUCUCUCUUUGGCCACCAGGAACCAGGGUGGUUUCUGAGUGAUACUCAGGACAUCAUGGUAAUUAAGCACACAGAGUUCCUGGGUUCCAAUCCUGGCUCUGCCAUUUAUUAUGUGUCUUCUGGCAAAUUAAGCAAUCACUGUGCCUUAGUUUUUCCAUCUGUAAAUGGGGACAGUAAUAGCACCCCCUUCUAAAGGGAGUUGUAUAGAUUUAGCAAGUUUCUGUGUGUGGAGUUUUUAGAUUAUUGCCUGGCAAUCAUGUUUAUCAUGUAGGUGUUAGUGAUUAUUAUGCUACUGAAAAUAGACAUGGAGCUGUUUUUGGAUCCAGUGGGUGACUUAUGAACCCAGUAGAUCCUAACAUCCUCAUAAUGGAUCUUGGAUCACCAUUCCCCAUGGUCCCUACCUUAUUGCUGGCAGGGCUUGGUCAGGCCAGAUGCUGAGCCUAACUCCAUGGUAAGACUCCAAACUUCAAAAAUGAAAAAAGGAGUUCCCGUCGUGGUGCAGUGGUUAACGAAUCCGACUAGGAACCAUGAGGUUGUGGGUUCGGUCCCUGCCCUUGCUCAGUGGGUUAACGAUCCAGCGUUGCCGUGAGCUGUGGUGUAGGUUGCAGACGCGGCUGGGAUCCCGUGUUGCUGUGGCUCUGGCGUAGGCCAGUGGCUACAGCUCCAAUUCAACCCCUAGCCUGGGAACCUCCAUAUGCCGCGAGAGUGGCCCAAAGAAGAAAUGGCAAAAAGACAAAAAAGAAAAAAAAAGAAAAAGAAAAAGCUGUUUUCCCAUUCUAGCAGUCUUUCACCAUUGGCAAAUAAUCCCCUUAGCAACAUUUGACCUUAAGAACUUACAAGGAAAAGGGCAAAACAUUUCAAGGAACAAGAGCUGGGUUUAUACUGCAGCAGAGUAGGGGGUGGCAGGUGGGAUCUCCUGGCCACUGUCAAAUGAUGUUGCCAGAGUCCCCCAGCCCCUCGCCGCCUGGAAAGCAUAGAAGCAACAGAAGGGGGUGUGUGUGGAGAGGGAGCUCUCUAUGGUCCUUGUCUCCUCCACCCUGGCCACAAAGACUAACUGCAGGGAAAAGGGGGCUCCUGUGGGGUCAGAGGGAGGACACCGCCAGGAAAGCCACUACUGGCCCUCUCUGGUGGCGUUAUUCCCUUUCCCUCCCAGUCUCCAAGGAUGGCUGCUUGAGCCUUUCACUCUCACUAAAUUAAGCUGAUAAAAUACAAAUGAAAAAAGGGGCGGGGGCAGGGAGGAGAGUAAGGCACAGUCUUGCUCUGCAUUUUAAUAACCCUUGGACUGUGCCUCAGACCAUUUUUAAUAAGAGAUUGACAGAUAGUGGUCACCUCCCCACCCCCACCUAUUACACAUCAGGCUCCAGAUCAAAAGCACCCUUUCCUCUCCUCCAGUAUAUCCCACUUGCCCUCUCCGUGACUGGAGGAUGGACAGAGGAUGCCACGCCCUUGGCAUGGUUUGCUGACCUCUUGAGUGUCAGGUCUGGAAGGGCAUCCCUAGUUACCCAAAGACAUGCUUCCCAGGGAUCUGUGCCCCAGAUGGGCAGCAUUGAGCCUCUGAUCUUUCCAGGGAGCCAGUUGUGGGGAUACAGACAGGCCCCCCACAAAGGCAAUUCCAGGGGGUGAGGUCUAUCUUGUUUGGUCCUAUGAGUAGCUGCCCCAGGUGCUCUAGCCCAGAGAUCUUUGCUGGACUGAGGAGAGCUGGUAGCAAGACGAAAAGAAGACAGGGUUCAAGUCCAGUGCCUGUGGCCAGAAAGUACUUGCUCCUGCUGCCAGUCUCAAGCCACACGGGGUCUCCCCGACCCCACAGGGAGAAUAUAUAUCAAAGCACCCGGUGCUCUCUGACCUCCACCCUCAAAACACAAUCCUCUCACCAUAAACAUGUCCAUCAAGAUAGAAAUCCAUUGACUGGGAGUUCCCGUUGUGGCGCAGUGGUUAACGAAUCCGACUAGGAACCAUGAGGUUGCGGGUUCGAUCCCUGCCCUUGCUCAGUGGGUUAAGGAUCCGGCGUUGCUGUGAGCUGUGGUGUAGGUCGCAGACGCAGCUCGGAUCCCGCGUUGCUGUGGCUCUGGCUUAGGCUGGCAGCUACAGCUCCGAUUAGACCCCUAGCCUGGGGACCUCCACAUGUCACGGGAGCGGCCCAAGAAAUGGCAAAAAAGACAAAAACAAAAAACAAAACAAAAAACUCCAUUGACUGAAGAUCCUCUAUGUGCUAUGGGUCACUAUGAGCCUUCAUACAGAAAAUGACAUCUCAUUUAACCCACACAGCAAUUCUAAGAGGAAGACAGCUGAUGUGGGGCUGGUCAGCCCGGCUCUGCAGUCUCAUCGCCAUAUCCCAUCUGGAGCUAUGAGAAGCAGAAACCUGGCAGCUUCCGAGGCAAAUGAAAAGCCAACCUUCCUCAAAUUGUUUUAUUUAAAGCCAGACUCCUGACUGUUUGAAGCCGCUUGAUUUUGGCAGUACUUGUUCCCGUUUCUUCUUCCUCGCUGCUUUUAAACAGCCCUCAGAGAUAACAGGAACACGUCGUUGCCCGCGCCUCGCUUGCAGAUGCUCAGAAGACCUCUGCCUCUCCCCACCCCCGCCGGCUGCUCGGAGCUGCAGCUGGGUGGCGCGCCUGUGAGCGUGGGCGCGGGGACGCGGCUGGGUUGGAGCAAGGCAGGGAGCCUGGAACUGAUCUGCACCUGAAGCAUAGGUACCGAGGAAGCCUUUUGCUUUUAUAGUGAGCAUCACCGACGUUCAACUUCAUUUAUAUCUCUAUAAAUGUAUACGGCUUUGAACAGGAGGCUUUACGGUUGGGUUUAUAAGUUCCACCUCCCUGUGGCACAGCCUGGGUCACCCUGAGGAGAUGACCCCUUUACGGACUGCAUGGCCUCUGCCCUUGGCGACAUAACCAUUUGCAGGGCUCUCAUCUGGUCCUCAGGGGAUCGCCCCUUUGCUGCCUGGGCUCUCCUGCAUGUGCCCUCUCACCCCUGGCUGGCAGCUGGCCCAGGCUGUGGGGAGGAGAGGGAGGACACCAGGCUGUCAGAUGACUUCCGUUCCACACCUGUCCCUUGGCCAGAGCCUGGCUGCUGACCUUGAUAUUGACAAGCUCACAGGAGAUGGCAAGACAGGCUGGCAAAACCUGGUUUAUGAAGGUAUCUGUUUUACAGAAUCCGUUUAGAUAAACAGCAUCCACACAGAUGCAGGUGCUCAGUGGCUGUGGGGUUUACAAUACUUUAGGAGACAGGCAGCCGCUUCUUUCCUGAUGCGCUGGCAGAGAUAAAUUCAAGGUAAUCUAUAUAAAACCCAAGCCUUUGAAAUUGCACACCGUCAAAUUCCACCAAUUACUCUAGCCCAGCCAGGAGGUGGCUGUUAGAUGUUCUUCUUAUGGAAAACAUAAUUAUAAAGGAAGAGAAAACGUUUCAUAAAUAAAACUCAGAAUGGCAGAAGAAUCUGGAGGGAGGGAAAGGCAGGAGAAAAGGAAUCCGAAGCUUCAGUCUCCAGUGGAGUGUGGAGUCGGGCUCAAAAACCCCAUACCUCCUUAAGGUUCAAAUUAAUUUCAGUCCAGCACAAUUUCCAGGUAAUUAAGUGGCAAGAGGUAUCUUUUAGAUACUUUUAAAUAUCAGCCAGCCGGGUUCUCGGUGCUAAAGGAGAAGAAAAAAAUAGCCAACACAUGCUCCUAAAACUAAGACGAUGUAAAACAAGGACCUACCUGGCCCAUUAGCACUUGAGAAGAAUAUAAAAUCCAGGUCAGCCCAGAUAAUUGUUAGCGUGUUAAAAUGCCAAGGACCCCAGGCUGCCCCCAGCCCCCAGGCCACAGGAAAUAGCUAGUGACACAUUCAUUCAUGCACCAUGCCAGGUGUUGUGUACUUGUGCUCCAUUUGAUUCUAUCUAAGAACUCUUUAAAGAGGUCAUGAUCUUUGUAGGCUUUUUUGGGGAGGCGGGGUGAGGAGGGCAGGGAAGAAGCCUGGGAGGAAGUUCAGAUUCAGACAGUUCAGUCAUGGCCCCAGGGCACAAGGCAGGAUCUGGUGGAGCAGGAAUCUGCAGCCAAGCUUUCCGGUAAUAAAGCCCCAGUCCUUGCUUCUGGCUGCAUUUCCCCCCCCCCCCCCCCGGGGGUCGGGGGAGGAGGGGAAGAGGGGUGGAUGAUGGGGGGAAGGGUAUGGCUAAGACCAGAGCAGCAGGAAGGAGUAAGAGAACUUGGGCUGUGUUGCAGAAAGUUCAAAGCAGCCGCACCACCUACUAGCUGUGCAGCCUCGGGCAAGUUAUUUAGCCUCUCUGAAUUUAGGAGCUUUAUUUUCCUCAUCUACAGGUUCUGUCCUCUGUGCCUUCGUAGGGAAAAGCGACUCUUUCAAUUCAAGUUGCGCCACCACCAGGGUUUUCCCUUCUCCUUCGGCGGGAGGAGGUUUUGCUCCUGGGAUGUGGUGAGGACUAAGCACUGAGCUCGGCACCUUCCACAUGGCAGCGUCCGGUAAAGAGAGCUCUUUGUCCUAUUCUGGUGAGAAUCAAGUGCGAGACUAUAUUGCCCAGCCUGGUAAAGUGCCCGGCACAUAUGAACAAGCAUAAAUGAUACCUAUCAUCAUCAUCACCACCAACACCACCAUUAUUAUAACAAGGGAAACAAACAUAGGAACUCCUGUACUUAGGCCGAGCAGAACCAAUAGCAAAUGAGGAAGUUUUUCUUGGGCUCUAUUAUGUUUUUCUUGAGCCAGGCCCUAUGCUGGACCCUCCCAGCCUUUGCAGGAUUGGUUAUCUAGGUGGAGAGGCACCUGGGUUUUCACAUACAAGAUUAGCAAUAAUACAAAAUGUAAAAUUCCUUUAAAGAUACUUAAAGGGAAUCACAAUAGAACCUGUUAUUAACUGCCAAAUGGGUGAGUAAAGCAAAAACAGAAAGGAGUUAAGUGGAGUUCCUGUUAUGGCUCAGCGGAAACAAAUCUGACUAGUAUCCAUGAGGAUGCAGGUUCAAUCCCUGCCUCGCUCAGUGGGUUAAGGAUCUGGUACGGCCAUGAGCUGUGGUGUAGGUCACAGAUGUGGCCUGGAUCUGGUGUGGCUGUGGCUGUGGCGUAGGCCAGCAGCUACAGCUCUGAUUCAACUCCUAGCCUGGAAACCUCCGUAUGCCAAGAGUGUGGCCCUAAAAAGACCAAAACAAACAAAGAAGUAAAAAAAAAAAAAAAGAAAGAAAGAAAGAAAAGAAAAGA